rnacentral:lncRNA from 1 species
CAGGAAUAGCAGCUCAGCAAGCAAGAUCAGAUGUUGCGCAUUUGAGGUUCGCCUCUCCACCCUAGGAAACCACACACAAUUAUAGCAAAGAAUAAGCAAAUCAGCGUAAGAAAUAACACAGAAAGCUAGAAUUUCUAUGCAACCAACAUCACUAUAAAAGUAAUUGUAAUGUUCAUUCAUUGUAUAAGUAUACAAAAAUUAUCUAUAUGAGAGCUAUUAAUUGUACUGUCCAUUCAUUUCUAUACAACCUCUUAUUAUAAUUUACAAUGAAAGUAUGAGAGCUAUCAAAAUUGGCCAGUACAAAAAUUAGAAGACACUACCAAGGUAAGAAAAAACUAAGCAAGCAUGGAUUUUGAGAAAACUCGCUAACAGUUUUAUGAGAGGAAUGGACUGCAAUGCUGAAUGUUCAAAGUGGGAAGAAAUUCCUUUAGCAUCAUAUAUGCAAGAGAUUUGUAAGCAACUCUCAGUUUGCCUAAUGGUCCUAAUAAGCCAUGUUGCUUCCUUUUUCCAUCGAAUUUUGUGUGAGCAAUGUGGUUGGGCAUUUCGUCAAACAUGUGGAAGGCAGCAAUGAUACACAGUAACCUAGAGCAAAAUAGAGAGUGCACUUACAUCUCGUCGUGGCUUAGUACAUGGAGGAAGAGAACACAGCUGAUCAUAGUGCCGUCGACAUCAAGGGAAGCAACAAACUGGAUGCAUGGCUGAAACGCGAAUCUAAGGAAGCACGGCACCCGGCGGCCCGGCCCACGCCGUCGGAGAUGCCUCGCGCUGUCUCCCCGAUUCACCAGGGAGCCUCCUGCUUGUGGAUGCCUCGCCCUCCUUCGGCUCAGCUCGCCGUCCUCCUCGCAUCGCUUGCCAGCGAGAUCACCACGACGCCGCUCGCUCUAGUAAAUUACUCGUGCGUUGCUACGAAAAUAAAUCUACAUAAACAAAUAAUUAAAGGGUCAUCCUAUUAGAGGGCGAGAACCAAUGGAGUAAAAUAAGGUACACAUCUUCAAGAUUAUGAAUCAUACAACAAUGAAAUCUAAUAUGGUUUUUGGUAAGUCAGAAAUAAAUCUAUGGACCUCCAAUUAAAGUAGUUUUCAGUUCAUGUGUUACAUAAUUUUGUCUAAAUGAAGAAUCUGUAACUAAUUAGACAAUUUUACUACAGCAGAAAUUAGUGAAACAUAUCAAGUAGGUUUCUCAACAGAAAUGCUUAUUAUUUUUAUUCCAGAUCAUCGAAAGUAAGUUGCUAAAGUUUUAGAUCAUAACAGUUAUUCUUUUCUGAAAAAUGAAUAGACACGGAGCGGAUAAGUUAUGAGGUAUUUAAACAGAAAUUGCAAGCAAAGUGCCAGUAAUAUAGAACCAAGCAAUAGGCUAUCAGAGACCUUCCUUUGUGUAACAAGUGUGUCGUCCAAUUAGCAAAGUUUCCCGCAGAUGCUUAGCAAUAAGAGGUGUCCAACACAUUAACAGACACUCUAAGAUUGCUACUUUUGUUCCAUUUGAUAUAUGUUUAUAUUGUGUUUGUUUGGACAAUCACAUAUGGCAAAUUGGAUUACAUGGAAAUGCAGUAAGACAACUGCAAGAACCUGCUUACACUUAGUUCCACAUUUUUAUCUCCUCAUCAUGUGGCCAUAACGAAAUUCAGCACAGGAGUGCCACAUCUUUUAUCUCCUCGGAUGGAUAUAACAAACUUCAACAUAGUAUUGCCACAUUUUCCAUCUAAGUGCAGAGCACCAAUGACUCGCAGCUUUAACAAGCACACUCUUCCUCCCAAGGACAGAGUAGAAGCUCCCCUGAACUUCCCCCAAACAGUGGAAUUCUUUGCAGCACCACUACCAUGCAAUGUCAGAGGAACUACUACUAUUUAAAACUAUAGUAAAAAGAUAUUACAAAGUUCAGUGUCUAAGAGUCAAACUACCUAACUGACCAAAUGUUAGGCACUGCUAAUAAAGGCUGCAGGCUAAUUACAUGAACACCAGUGAGAAAUUGCACAAGAAUGAAUUAAUAUAGUGGAAAUUCAGGUAGCCAACUCAAAUGAGAAAACUGAAGGACAUGGAAAAGCAAUGUCGUGACCCUUCUAGUCACUGAAUUGUUCAGACUCCCAGAGCAUAUACUAAAGAACAUACAGAACUAAUAAGUACUCCCUCUGUAAAGAAAUGCAAAAUACUUGAUCAAGACUGUUGCAACUCCUGUACCAUUUUUUUGUGAACCUCUUCAAGCUAUUACAAUGUGAAGACUUACUAUAUAUAUUUUUAGAGCCAACCAAUUAUGUAUACCUUAAGCCAAUUAACUACAGAGAUGUAGAGUGGAACCAUAUAGCAUUGAUCUGAACCACUAAUGCAAACCUUCAGCCAAUUAAGUACAAAGAUAUAGAGUGGAACCAUGUAGCACUGAUAUGAAAACUUUGUCAUACAACGGCCGUUCUUCCUAGAUAAAAAUUUAGCUAGCUUUAUCACCUUUUAUUGCUACUUCCAAAAUAGUCAAUUAAAUAAUUACCUCUCUGCCAUCACCAUGAUAUUAGUUUACCUUUUCUUAUAUUUUUCUGUCAUACAAUAGAUGUUCCUCCUAGAUAAAAAUUUAGCUAGAUUUAUCACAUUUGAUCGCUACUUCUAAUUAUUGUUUUCCCUCAGGACCAUCUUGUAAUGAGGACAGGGGGGUGUUUUAGGCAUUGACUUGUUCAGAGCUUAUGUAGUAGUUGAUGAUAGAGCAAAUUGAUUACACUGUAGUAUGUACCUCAGGUCAGACGAAGUUCCGGCAGACGGUGGAGUACGUGCAGAUGGAUUUCCGGCGAAAUCCGCGGUGUACAGCAACGUCAGAAACUUGCGACACGACGAUGAGCCAAAUAACUG